GAUGAACGCUGGCGGCGUGCCUAAUACAUGCAAGUCGAGCGAACGGACGAGAAGCUUGCUUCUCUGAUGUUAGCGGCGGACGGGUGAGUAACACGUGGAUAACCUACCUAUAAGACUGGGAUAACUUCGGGAAACCGGAGCUAAUACCGGAUAAUAUUUUGAACCGCAUGGUUCAAAAGUAAAAGACGGUCUUGCUGUCACUUAUAGAUGGAUCCGCGCUGCAUUAGCUAGUUGGUAAGGUAACGGCUUACCAAGGCAACGAUGCAUAGCCGACCUGAGAGGGUGAUCGGCCACACUGGAACUGAGACACGGUCCAGACUCCUACGGGAGGCAGCAGUAGGGAAUCUUCCGCAAAGGGCGAAAGCCUGACGGAGCAACGCCGCGUGAGUGAUAAAGGUCUUCGGAUCGUAAAACUCUGUUAUUAGGGAAGAACAUAUGUGUAAGUAACUGUGCACAUCUUGACGGUACCUAAUCAGAAAGCCACGGCUAACUACGUG
rnacentral:rRNA from 1 species